rnacentral:rRNA from 1 species
UACAGAGGUGGCAAGCGUUGUUCGGAAUUACUGGGCGUAAAGGGCGCGUAGGCGGUUCGUUAAGUCCUGUGUGAAAUCCCCCGGCUCAACUGGGGAACUGCACAGGAAACUAGCGGGCUUGAGUUCGGGAGAGGGAAGCGGAAUUCCGGGUGUAGCGGUGAAAUGGCGUAGAUAUCCGGAGGAACACCGGUGGCGAAGGCGGCUUCCUGGACCGACACUGACGGCUGAGGCGCGAAAGCUAGGGGAGCAAACGGG